UACGUAGGGGGCUAGCGUUGUCCGGAAUCAUUGGGCGUAAAGAGCGCGUAGGCGGCUGGAAUAGUCCGGUGUGAAAUCCACAGGCUUAACCUGUGAAUGCCGCUGGAAACUGUCUGGCUAGAGUCCGGAAGGGGCGAGUGGAAUUCCUGGUGUAGCGGUGAAAUGCGCAGAUAUCAGGAGGAACACCAUGGCGAAGGCAGCUCGCUGGGACGGUACUGACGCUGAGGCGCGAAAAGCGUGGGGGAG
rnacentral:rRNA from 1 species